UACGUAGGGGGCAAGCGUUGUCCGGAUUUAUUGGGCGUAAAGAGCGUGUAGGCGGUUAUACAGGUCCGCUGUGAAAACUGGAGGCUUAACCUCCAGACGUCGGUGGAAACCGUAUAACUAGAGUCCGGAAGGGGCAGAGGGAAUUUCCGGUGGAGCGGUGAAAUGCGUAGAGAUCGGAAAGAACACCAACGGCGAAAGCACUCUGCUGGGCCGACACUGACACUGAGAGACGAAAGCUAGGGGAGCAAAUGGG
rnacentral:rRNA from 1 species